GGGGUUGAAGCGUUAAAACUAAUCAGGCUAGUCUGGUAGUGGCGUGUCCGUCCGCAGGUGCCAGGCGAAUGUAAAGACGAACUAAGCAUGUAGUACCGAGGAUGUAGGAAUUUCGGACGCGGGUUCAACUCCCGCCAGCUCCACCA
rnacentral:tRNA from 2 species